AGGAAAUGGCCCCGAAAUUGGGAAAAAAACUAGAUAAUUUGUAACAUUUACAGCGCCCCCUUGCGCAGGAGCAACUCGACAACUUUAACGUGUCCCUCGCGAGAGGCCAGAUGAAGCGGCGUCAGACCCUUCUCAUCCCCCUCAUUCAGCAACCUGGUGUCCGUCACCAUCUCCAGGAGCCUGUGGCACGUGUUGAUUCU
rnacentral:lncRNA from 1 species